ensembl:lncRNA
AAGCUGAUGAUCCAGCAGUGUUGCGAGGAUGGCUUUAUGGGCAGCCCAGGGCCUGCAGGGAAAUGGCUGCCAUGAGGAAGAAAUCUAGGGAAGCUGAGUGCUGCUGGAAUCUGAGUGGUGACUCUGAACCCCUAAGCUUUAUCCAGGGAUUUCUCAGCAUCGCCUGCCUGGUUUACUAAGGGAGAGGGUGGUGACGAGGCAGUAGCCGUGAGGCAAGGCAAGCACUGGGGAUGUUGUGAGCAGGACAUGGGAGAGCAGCGAUGCCAGACUGAGCGCGCUAAGCAGAUGAGUGUCGUGGGGAAAGGUAUGUGAUGGUGUAAUAGCUGUCCAUGUCAUGGAAGGCUGGAUGGCUACAAGCAAUGAAAUUUGAAAUCAAUCCCAAAUCCUGCCGAGUCCAGGAGACCUUCACACCCAUGAAGGCACCACUGCUGAGUCAGGCCAAUGGCUGCGUGCACACCCAAGAAAUACACACGUGCUGAUAGAAAACAGAUUUAAAAGGUACCUAAAAUAAUAGCUUUUUAAGACAGUCUUACGAUCACAUAACUUGUUGGGAAAAGCAUACCAUGGCUCACAAUCUGAAUUAAACAUUGUCAUUGUGGUAUAGAAGAAGGUGCAUGCUCAGGAGUUGCUAUCUGACUGAGUUGCUGAAGACAGCGAGUCACUGACAGAGGAGUAGGAAUUAUCAAAAGAGAAGUGUCUGCCACCCUGUUUCUUUUGUGCUAACCACCAACAGCUGGAGACCAGGCCAAAGAGAGGCAAGAGAAGCACGUCUCAAGGAAGCAUGUGCUUAAGCACGAAGAUGAACAAAGCUUCCAGGGCUAUUCAAAUCAGCUCUGGCUAUACCAAGUCCAUGCCUAUCCCUUAUACUUUCCAUAUAUUUUAAUAAAUUCAAAGAGAGCUGCUGAGAUUAAAGGGAAGAGCUUUGUGGUGGACAACGCGAAAUGAACAGGCUCUUCCUGCUGUGCAAGGCAGCGACUUGCUGAAGAUGGAGCCUGCACAUCAGAGGAGAGGAUCAUAAGGAUUCUGCCAGGUUUUAAUGCAACAUACCGGCUAUUUUGACUUGGUCGUCUUCUAAUCAAACUGGAGAUGUUUAGCUAGAAACUCCUUUCCCUGUUAUUUCAAACAUAGCCCAAGCACAGCUCCAGUGUCUGCUGAGGAUAGGUUGGGCAUGGAUGGGAGAGAGCUGACCCUACCUCGAUUUGUUGUGUUCCUUCCUUAUCUGCCCAUUCUAAUGGAAGUCUGCCACACAUCAUGGAUGCAAAGUGUGGAGCAUCAGAUGUUCACAGCUUCCCAUUGUGAAGUGAAGGUGUUGGGACCACUUUGUCUUCAGGACUGGACCAACGCUUUAACUACAAGAAAGUGUCAGAUAUGCGGGAUGAUGAUGCAUGGAAAGAAGAAAAACAUUCCUGAGUCAUCCUGUUUCCUGAGCAUAAGGAGGCACAAGAUAGUAAGUGUUGGAUUUUCAUCCUACCUUUACAUUCUGUGAUGGGGCACCAUUGCAAGCUCUCCUUACAAAGCUUUGAGCAGAGAGAUUAUCAGAACCAUGAGGUUUGUGGUGUAUUCACAACGGAACAGGCAGCUUAAAAAAGGAUGUACUAUUUGAUCAGCAGUUUCCUGCAUAUGGAAAUCUUAGGUCACCUUGCUGUUCCUUGAUGUCUAAAAUCUGCUAUCAGGCUUCUGCAAGGAAAUAUAGAUUAGUAUUCAGUGCCUUGUAGUAUUCUUUUAUUAAUAUUACUAUUUUUUCAAUUUUAAGGACAAAAACAGCAGAACAGUGCUGUGAUGACAAGAAGCUGAGUGCUGAGCCCACGCAGGGCACUGGGGAGGGUCACUGGGAGUGAGUCAGGUUGAUGUCUGCUGAGAUGGUUUUGUUUGCAGUGUUUUCACACGUGUAUUCAAUAAGGCUUUUGUUUUACUGAAAGGAAGAGACACUAUACAGCAUUAUCCCGAUUUUGAAGUGACAGUGCCAAGGGGACUUCAGUAAAGGAUUUGAUGGCAAUUGAAUCUGAAAAGUAAAGCUUUGUAAUUGCUUAGUUAGUUUUGAAGUAAUGCUUAUAUUUAAGAUUUAUGUACAAAAACAGGCUAUAUCAACAGUAGUGAAGUGGUUUUGGGCCAAGUCUUUUUUAAAGCAACUUAUGAACAGAAGGUCAUUUCAGAUUUCUUUCUUCUCCUGCAAAGACACAAACACAAAUCCCACCUCGCUGUGUUCGUAUAAUAUGUAAUACAUCAUUAUGCUGCAUUUAGUAAGUGCUUGUACUUCCACAAGAAUAUCUGAGCUUUACUCUUGAUUAUAGUAAACUUCCCAAUGCAAGUAAAAGCAAUUAUUAUCCUCAGAGUUUCUGUGACCUGUUAGGAAGACAUAAGCUGUUACAAGACUUCUGAAGGCUCAUCUUACAGUCUGUAAAUCCCACCUUAAAAAUACAUAAUUUGGAGACUAUUGAGUCCUCUGAUGAUACUAUGGUAUUGAAUCAUCUUUAUAUAAUUGUGCUGGUGAAUAUAAAGUAUCAUUGUUUUCAGCAUCUUUUAUGAAAGCUGUUUUGACCUUCAGAUUAAAGGAUCCAUAUGGAUUUCCAAAUGAAAAAGUUGGAGCUCCUGUUUAAAACUUGAACUCCAGCUCGGCAUGAAGGCAUCAGAUGUGCUUCCACUUGAAAAAGCGUUGUUGUACCAGCAUAUAUCCCGCCUGAAUUUUUCUCCUGGGUAAAAUCUUAUAAAUGUGUGUAUCGUGCAUAAUGAGGAUUGGAGGUUAGCUGCUUCCAGUGAAUUCCCUUUCAAAGUGUAAGGAAGAUGCAGAGCAGCAAGGAGGAGAAAUCCAUUGGUAUUUGAGCUCUGUAGGAUGAAGAGGUUUGCUGCUGGGGGAAGAUCAAGAGGAGGCAGUAGGAAUAUUUUGGGCACUUCUGAAGGAGAGAUGGAGACCAUCUGGUAGAGAGGAUGCUUAAAGGAAAAGUGCCAGGACAGAGAUAAAAGUAAAGGGAAAGGAAAUAGUGACUGAGUAACAUCAAAGAGUGAGGCUGACUAUAGAGCAAAAAGGAAGACAUAGCAGUGACCCAACAUAGGCAAAUCAUAAUACAAAUGGUGGCACUGGGCGACGAAUCCAUAUGAAUCGGUGAAGGCUCGGGGGAAAAGCUCAGCAUUUUAAUUUCAGGAAAGUCUACAGGAAAGUGGUGUUGACAUCUUUGGAAGGCUUAUAAUUUAAAACUGAUGCAGUAAGCAGGGUUCCCGCUGCUUCAGAAAUACUGUCCUGGAGUCUAAUCCAGAUACUGUAACUACAGCAGAAUUUUAAAUGGAGAGAUGCCAAGAAGAAUGUUUCUUCCCUCAUCGGCAUCAGCAUCUUUUCAUUUGAAUGACUUUUAGGGCAUUAGAUGUUUCCGUUGAACUGCUUUCUAAGGCUCGUGUCCUGAAGCAUUGGUUGGUGUGUGGUCCUUCCCUGUGUUGAGCUGGAGCCGAUCUCAUGUAAAGAAAGGAAGAUGCUGGUUUUGCUUUUCUCCUGCUGAAGGAGAAUAACUUUGGGCCAGUCCCUUUCUCCUGCCAAAGUCUGAAAAACUUUUCUAUCAUUGGAAUUCCACUGAGAGUGGAGCAGUGGUAAGCCCCGUGGCUUCUAUGGGUAGAGCAGUACAGGCUAAGAGAGUCUGAUCAUCUCUUGUGCUUUGUUUUACACCCAACCCUAAACAUGGUGAGUCAGGACAGGCGAUGGGCCUAAUUAUAAAGACUGUCUGUGCUCCUGCCUCUCUUACUCCUUCCCAUCUGUAUUUAGGAGGACUUUCUGCAUCCUAGGGGAACCGUGCUUUAGGAGGAUUUGAGAUCAAGGCCUGAAAUAAUCUCAUGGUUUUCUUCCUGCCUGCCUUUCUUUCCUUCUUAACAAAACAGGUGUGUUACUUUUUUUACUGAAGUCGGUCCAGGGAAAGGAAAAGAAGAAAGUACUUCCAGAGGGUAAUUAGUCCCAUCUUAAAACAAGUGUGUAAGACAGGUAGGAUAAGUCUCUCUCUCUGAAAGUGCCAAUCUGUCACCACUAUCUAUAGAAGGAGCCUUCACGAGUAGCUUAGAGUAGGUGUUUGACUUUUACACAGUUAAAUUUAGAGGAGAUGAUUGCCACUUUUUAAGUCAGUCAAAGUGCUUGUUUAUAAUUGAUUAACCAUUAUAGACUGAAGAGUUGUGAGAGAGAACAAAAGUAAAAAUAUAAUGCCAUUGAUAGAGAUAUCGUGUAAUACGGAAUAGCAGUAACAGCAAUUGCAGAUGGUUAACAUUUUCAUUCCCCAUUGUUUUUAUUUUACUGUUAAAUCUUCCCAGAUUUUAGGUCUUGUUUGAUCCUGUAGAAGGAAAAAAUUUCCCCUGCUUUAGUGUAAGCAAAAAACUGCUGAAAUAUUUGUAGGAUUAAGAAGUGAUUUGUCCUGAAAAUGUCAAUUCUUAUAUGUAGGGUCAUUAAUCCAUAAAAUGAAUUUGCAAACAUUUCUAAGUUCCCUUUCGUGUUGUUGGUGUUUUACUUGACAUGCUUCUGACCGCUCUCUCAAUGAAGGCUGCACUCAGAAGAUCCUGCAAGGCGUACACUGACAGUGUGUGGGACUUGGUUUUGCAUGUGUCUUGACCUGGCAUAUACAGUCUGUUACAAUGAAAUAAACUCACUUGUCAUUUAAGAGUAUUAAUCAUAUUUCAGGCUGUUGCCCAAGAAUUUCAUUGUGUACAAUGCUUUCACCAGCCAGAACCAUACUGCAGAAAGUAAAUAGAUAAAAUCACUUUCUCUAGUAAAAAUAAUUCUUGACUACAGCCUCGCUUGCAGAGUAGAUAAUGCUUGUAGAAAUGGCAGAUGCUCUGAAGGUUUGGAGUAUUGUGACAAUAAGAAUUUUAAACAAAGUUGGAAAAAGCAGAUGGUAUAUAUGGACGGGAAAUCCUGUGGUAGUUUUGAUUUUAUGCAAGGAAAAGAAGGAGUUCCUUAGGUCCAUAAAUCUGUUUGUUUGCAGUACUCAAACAGAGAUUUUCAUGAUCUUAGCUUUCCUUUCUUCAAAAUGUUGCUUUCAAGUACAGAUGGGCCUAUAUACCACAAGUUUGGGAUCCAGAUUGGGGCUUGGACCUGACAUUCAUCAGAGCGUAAGCAUAUUUGAACCUAGCAUUUGAGGUCAGCCUCUUGUGGAGUUAACCACCUACUGAUUGAGUAGAUCUCUCCUAUAUGUCGAGGCAUAGGUGUAGAAAGUACAAUGAUUUUAUUUAACUUGAUCUGUAAGGUAUUUAAAUUUAAUUCGGAAGACUUCUCAUGAAGCAGGAGGCUGUAUUUAUAAUUAUUAUUGUGUCUGAAGGGUGAAAUUACAUAUGACAAUUAAAUAUGGUGGAUAUUAUAAUAGGAUACAUACUUAAAGUGGUUUCCAAUCUAAAUGUGUUUGAAGUCAAUAGGAGUACCUACGGCAAAGUAUUCGGAUCCUGAUUUAUAAUCUACCACUUUUACCCCAGUAUGGUUAUUUAUGGAUAAAUUGACCUGUUCCUAGAAUAGAAUAUGAUAUGUUAGUAAAACUGUACGCCUAGGUGUGGAAAGACAAUUAGCCUAUAAACACACUGACUUCCUCUUUAGGUUGAGAACACCUCAUAUUUCCAAGACUAAUGGUUUCUAAUCUGUUUUUAAAUGUUCCAUUUGGAUAGUGAAGGCGUAACUAUCAAAACACUGUAAAAUCAUAAUGCCUGUGCAGCUAUAAAUUACUGUUUUCAAAAUGAGCUGGAGGUCUCCAACUUAUUCCCAAGUGCAGAAAAGUUAGAUAACAUAAAACUGCUCAGAAAUGACUAGAAGCAACUUUUCUGGCUUUUUCCAAAUGCUAGGAAAUCGUGGAUCUGCCCACUAACUCCCUAGCAAUGCCCAUAUGGAUAGCAAUAAAGCUAGUCCCAUAAAGAAUACUUGAAUUGAUCAAAAGCAUUUCAGAUUAGAGAUCAACAGAAAGAGCUGUGUUGCUUUUUGUUUGUUUGUUUAUUUAUUUAUAUCCUGGAAAUCUCUCUGAUACGAAAAAUAUCUGACUUAUUUUUCAUUCAUCAAAUUGUGGACUGCUUCAUAUGAGAUACGAACUGCAUGACCUGCUGAUGGCGAAGUGCUGCUUCCAUGGAAGAUGCAGCUUUAAACAAUAAGAGAAAGCAUCAACCCUCUCCUGCCAUAUUUUGAACUUUGGAGUGUGCACAAGGAUGGAAAAAUACAGAAGGAUGGAAAAACACAAGGAGUGGUGGGACACAACGCAAAGUGAGUCUGAGCUGCCUUUAACUUCAGCCUUUGCACUGUGCCAAUACACCAGGAAGAUGCAGUUUAUUCUACCAGGAAUGCUGAUAUCGCAAACACCUAUUUAAACACAGAAGUGUUGGAGGUUUGAACAUCUUUUAUGAAUACUACACCACUGUUUUAAGAAAAGACAAAUACAAGGAGGGAGAAAACAGAACCUCUGGGAUUUUUCUUUUUCCCUACAAAGUGCUAUGGGUGAAGGCUGUGGAGAAAAAUCUUCCCUGCCAGAAGCUGUGUACAGCAUGGGUUUCCCCAGUUCAGAUUUGAACCUCCCACCAGUUGUGUGACCUUCGGGCUGUGGGUGAGUCUGCGAUGACUUUCUUCUGUCUACCCAAAAGCUGCAUCCCUAAUGUAUAAUGUCUUCCCAGCAAUAUAAAAUAUCCCGGGUUGGGAUAUUCUAUGGAGAAACAGAUAUUCUGCUGUGAAGGACUCAAUGCAAUUGUAAUUUUCUGACAAAUGGAGUUUUUCUGAUCUUCCUGGGAGUUGUAGUGGCCAUAGCUGGUCUGAGUGCUCAGUGUUAUGAUGUGUUCUGUGAUUGACUUGAAAUUUGUACCUGAGGGGUUUGGAGUAAGAGACUGAUGUUGGUAUUUCUUUCCUUAUGAGAUUUGGUGUUGCUCUUGUUCUUAGGAAAUCCUCACCUAGAGGCGAGAGUACCUUCAGAGAUCUAUUCCCUGCUGCUGAGCAUGGAAAUCUCAAUAACUAACUUUUUUGGAAGGAGUUCUGUUCAUAUGAGCUUUGCUUUCCUGUACUUUGGGAUUGUUUCCAGUAGUUCAGUGUUUCUGCAGUGAAGUGACAAUGCAAUCUAAGAGAUGGUCCAUCUCCCCACAGAACACCUUUCUCUACCUUUGUGCUUUCCUUUGGUCUCUAUAGUUUCCUAAUUUUUUUUUUUUUGGUAAUCUUUCAUCUUUCUCAUUUCAAGUGUCCACUAGUUUUGAUCCUUACCAAAGAGCUUAUUUUUAUUUUUCAACCCUUUUGGUCUCAGAUAAGGGGAUUGAUCUUAACACUUUGAAAUCAGCAGUCAUUUGACCAUGGGCUUUGGAGACAGUUAAGCUCCCGAGGACCAAAACAGUGAAUACAGAACAGAAGCAGCCUUGAUUUAAUAUUGUGAACCUAAUAAGCCUAAUCCUCUGCUCUCUGUUUUUUUUUUUUUUCUGCUUGGACAUGGCCUACUGUACAGCAUUUCAGGUUUGAGGGGCAUUGAGAGAAAUCACCGUCACUUUCCAGAGCAGACAUCAAAGGCAAACUCACUUUUCCCAUUGCUUUUUAUCUUCCUUCUAUUUCUGAUGCAUACUUCAUAUUUUUUCCAUGCUGCCGCUCCAAUUUUUGCCCACUUUUGAUUUCUCUAUUAACAUUAAUUAGGCUCAUGAGCUUGAUCACCAGGUGGGUUUUCCCCAAGCUUCCACUGCAAUACUUCCCAUCAGCAGCAGACUUGUAAGGGAAUUUUGUUAAGCUGCAGAUAGGAGCCUAAUGUUAUUGGAUACGGAGUGUUUCAGUGCUAAGUGUGUUUUAUAUCAGUUGAAUUUGCCAGGAAGCAUUAUUGGCUUGAUUAUUUUUAAGCAGACAGGCUCGAGGGCCCUUGACCAGCAUCGGGGGGCAAUGAGAGAAGAGGGCCGUUAGCCAGGGGAAUGAUUCAUACCUCUGGAGCUCACCAAGUGCUCGUGUGUCUCAGGGAAGUAGCUCUGCAUCUUCCAGCUGAGGAAAAUGCAGAGAAGGGGGGAAAAAAAAGCCCUAAAAAAAAAAAAAAGAAAGAAUGAAAGAAAGAAAGAAAAAGAGAAAAGUAAAUAAAUCCCUGGAUUCAUUUCUGGAGAAUCUCAGCGCAUGUAAAGUCAGCUGCUAGGAAGGAAGAUUGGCACACACCUUUUGGACAUUUUGUGCAUGGUUUUCCUGGGCAGGUUCUUCCAGCGUUAAGUUUUUCCUGUAUUGAAUGUUAAGUAGCAUAAAAUACGAGCUGUCACGGGGUGAGCUGCAGCUUUUGUAGCCUUUGUUUUGUGAUGAUUUGCAUAUUCAGAAUCUGCCUUGGGUCUUCUUGUUUUUAUCCUCCUUCUUUUAAAACUGCAUUUACCUGAAGAAGGGCUUCAUUCUGAGUGCACCAAAUAAGCGUUUUCUCUGCAGUUGACUUUAAUCCGACCAAAAGAAUGAACACUUGGAGCAGAAAACCUUCUUUGGGUCCUACAGGGCAUUAGAACAUCUCAGGUACUGGCUGCUGCUUUAAUAAAAGGAUAGGAUUUCCAUUUACUUCAGGCAGGCUUAAUGUAUUGUUCUUGUAGUGAGACAGUCAGAAUGAGUCAGGAGCCAAAGAAUACACUUUAUAGACACAAAUAAUCGUAAAUUCAGAAUGUCACCUUUAGGCAGAGGCAUUUUUAUUAUUGUUAGUGGAGCUGCUGAGUAGGUUUGAUGUUUUAUUCUCUUGAGUACUAAAUGUUCCAGAGUACCACAGCCCUAUCUUUAUCAGGCUCACAAGGAGGGAGCACAGCCAAACUUGCUUCCUAUACUUCUCUAUGAUUGAUAGCAGAUGGCAUGCUUUAAAAUAAACCUAUCCAUUAGCAGUCCUCAGUGUUUUUACUCAAGGCAUUUACAACUGUCUCACCCAGAAAACACAUUUGCUCCGCAAGCUCGCUUCAGUCUGCAACAGCUGUACAGGUGCAAAUCUUUCAUUAACUCUUAAACAGUGGUGAAAUAAAAGUUGCACUGUAUUUUAUUUUUAGUGGAGAGGUUGUUUCUCAAAGGAGGAGUGCAUUCUAUUAUUCUCCCUUUGCAUAUGGCGGAGGUUCAUGUUAACUGAUGCAAAGUCAGAAUAUUUUUCUUCUGUCCUCCUUCAAAUUUUUAGGGUGAGACAAAUGUGGAUGUUUGUAGGCAAUACAAGGGGAUUGUAACUGGGGGCUGGGAUUCCUGGGGUCGCCCAGCUCCUCACCUCAAACAGCCCUGUGGGGGGGGAUCCUUCAUGGUACCCCCACCACUGCUUCAUCCUGGGGCUACUUUUUUUCUGUUCAUUUGGAAAAUGCAGGGUCACACACACACACACAGAUAUGCAUUCAACCCGAUUCUGAGCUCCCUUCUCAGUAAAUACAUUACUAAAAUCUGUCCCUGUAUUCACUUUACUUUGCUUAGAUUUCUAUGCAGUAGCCACAGAGGAUAUUAAAAUUGGCCUGGCAUUCCUGCCAAUACAACGAACCCUCAAGCACCUCCCAAAACAUUAGUGCACCAGCAGAUAGACCUUUAAAAUAUUAGUAGCAAACCUUAAAUAUUAGCAUUUAGCAUUAAUAUUAGACAAGACCUUAUAAUAUUAGAGCCAGAUAAAACAGUAUUAGCAGGGGUAUAGGAGUCAUUAAGCAGAAUAACCAUCACUGCCUAAAUGGAUGCUGAAACUUUUACAUGCAAACCAGUGUAGAUGAUAGGGACUUCAGAGAGACGAGAGGAUCCUUUCAUUUAAAAGGAGGUUGUAGAGACGAAGGUUAGGGAUUUGAAAGCUGGUAAAUAAAACAACACAGCGGGACAAGUGAUAUGGAAUGUGCCAUCUCGUUAGCCACAAUCACGUCCCGUGUUAUUUUUCUUAAGCUGAAAAGAUAAAACAAGCAGACAGGCAAUAUUCUGUUGCAAAUAAAUGGAAAUUGGGGCAUUUUUUUGUAUAAAUCUCGAGUUGCAGGAGGAAAAUACAAAUGCGUUCUCAGCACUGGAGGUCUAUGUAGGCUAACAGAGGUGCUACAGUAAUUUGGCAGGAUGGCGUGUGGCUCGCAUGCCCUUUUGCUGGCAUGAUGAGCAAAGUCUGGGGAACCUGAGCUUGGCACCAUGAAGGAGGGGUUGAAGCAGCCCAGGGUCUACAUAGAGCAGUGCUCCGGAGAGCAGCCAUCACCAUAGCUCAUGUCAGCUCGUCCCGCGAGCACCUGGAGGAUUUGGUGCUAAAUGAGAUGGGGGGAGAAAAACAAGGCCAGCUGUAGACAUAAGAACUUUAAGAGCAUCAGUGCUUGCUUCCAGCUAAUCUCUCCUGAUGACUCCUGUAAGCAGGCGAGGCUGGUCGGUGCUGUUAAUUAUUCAAAGCCCCGCACCAGUUUCAUAGCUGAGUGGUGUAAGAGGAUGUGUAGUGUCCCCAUUUCUUAGUCUGUCUGGGGGAAAGGCACGAAACGCAGCUUCUCCUGCCAUCCCUGCCUGCCAUCCCUCUUUACAGGUGGGAAAUGUGAGCCGGAGAGAGGCUGCAGCCAUCCCCAUCCCUUGGCCAUCUGGCAUUGUGAAACCUCACCUGUCUCUGUAGGGCCUGAUUUGCUGAGUGCAGGGAAGGCAUCAGGAGAGUCAUUCUGUAUCUUAACAUAAUGAAUGCACUGCUUUGAGGUAUUGUGCCCUACACUUUUGUGUGCAGAAUAAUCCAAAAGAUAUCCAAAAUAUAUGAUGUCUCCAUUGUUAAUGCUCCAUCAUAGGAAGAAAGGGAGGGAAGGGCACAUGCUUCAAGGUUUGCAUUACAUCCACAAUGUCCUCAGGCAGUACAAACAGCACGCUUUGAGAAUUACACAUAUUUUCUCUAUUUAUCACUUGCAUUAAGACAUAGAGUGGAAAAGGGGUGGCAGUGGAGUCAUGUGCAGCAUUAAAUACAUAUUCCUUAUGUUGUUUGCUGUCCCAAAGAGGCUGCCAAGGCAUUUUAGUACAUCUUAUUGUAUGAUGCAAAGCAGUUGGAAAAAAGUAGAAAAAUAUCCAUAGCAAAAAAAAAAAAGAAAAAAAAAAGCAAUAAGAUCUCUUAGAUCUGUACUAGAAACAAGUACCAGUACAAUGCUGAUAUGUCAAUUACAUGCUUUAUCUACAUACAGCCAAUGUACCUGCCAUUGCAGCUUCUUUUAGUUCCAUUAGAGAAGGCAACAUGUAUUUUCUUACGACUUUUGGAAUUGCUGAUUGACUUUUUUUUGUGGAAUUGAGUUUCUGUUUGGAGCCCAGAUCACACAGAGCUCCUUUAGCUUGGAGGUGGGAAGUGAAACCACUCAACUUGUGUUGCGCUUAGAGAUGACUUCUCUGUUAGCUUCUUUUGGUCCACUGGUGCUGUGGGGGUGGAGGUACCCAGACUGAAAUGAUUUGCAGCCUUCCAAAGGGGAAAAGUAACUGUGCAUGGAAUAACCGUGUGUAAAAUAGCAUCUGCAAUGCUCAGAGUCUGGUGUGUUUGGUUGCCACUGACCUCAGUGUGGCUAUUUCCAGGAGUCAGGGUGCACAGGUGCCUAAAUAUCUACAGGCAUUGGCAUGUACCAUCCUCCAGAGAGGCUAGGAAAGGUUUUCUUAUUUCAAUGAGAGCCACAUUCAGCCUCAAAAUUAAGCAUAUUCUUAAGUGCAUAUAUGAGCUGGGGGCCAUAGAACACAGCGUAUUAAGAUACCACACAUCACUGCAAAUUAUGUAGGAGCUAUACAGUAUAAUUCAAUUUAGUAAAAAAAAAAAAAAAAAAAAAAAAAAAAAAAGGUCCUUUUAUCCCCCCUUCAAACCUCUUUAUUUAUUAAUGAGCUAGAAAGAUGUGACGUUAUUAAGACAUGAACCAAUUUGCCCUGGAUGCCAUCCAGCACACCAGGAACCUGUGUUGCUCUGUAAUAGCCCUUUUUUCUGAAGGAAACACUAAGUCCCAGGCCCACCCCAAGCUGGUGAGUGCUGGAGGAGGGCCUAUGGCCUGCAGAAGGGGAGGGUGGAGAGGGGCCAUGCUUAAUCCCCAGUAGAUUUAGCCUUUUGGUGAGUAAGAUGGAUUUCUGAUGUUGGCCUCCAUGCCAUUCAUAGCAGUGUUCCCAGUAGUAAACUUGUGCCUGCACUAAAAAUCCCCCUCUCAUGCCCCCACUUCCUUGCCAAAACUAAGCUCAACUAAAAUAAAUCAUAUUUUAGGAAGCUAAUUGUGCAGCCAAAUAGCAGAAAGGUAUUGAAAAACUGUUGUGUGCCUAACAUUAAAUGAAUUUACAUUGGCAGUAGGGAGCAUGCAUAACAAAAAUAAAUACAGGGACAUGGCAAAAGUGUAAGCAGUGGAAUUUAAACAAAAAAAUGUAUGUAAUGCCAAACAUUGGGAAUGGUAUUCAGACUUACUGCAGAACUAAUAUUCUAUGCAGUCACUGCACACAAUUUUUUACAGUUAAAAUACAUUCUGAAUGAAGUUUGCUCUUUUAUCAGUUUAUUGUAUUUCUUGGAAAAUUGAAACGUGUCAGGAUAUGCACUUUUCUCCCUGCUCCUGAAGUGUGUAUAGGUCCCUUCACCAACCUGUGGGCAAUACGUUAAGAAAAAAAAAAAAGGGGGAAAGCUCUGGCAUAGGCUGCCCUGUAGAGGGGUCACCGUCCCUAGAGGUGUUCCAGAACCGUGGGGGUGUGGCACUGAGGGAUGUGGUCAGUGGACAUGGUGGGGGUGGGUUGGUGUUGGGCUUGGGGAUCUUAGUGCUCAUUUCCAACUUUAAUGAUUCUGUGAAAAAAAUAAAAUGAGGAAGAAAAAAAAAAACCCAAACAGUUUUUGGAGAAGAUUUUAGAAGUUUCCUGAUGGAUCGGCAUCCUUGAGAUUAAACAUUCCCAUAUGUAGGUUGACAUUUGAAAAUGUAAGUCUUAUGAAAGAUAAGAUGGAAAUUAAGAGAAAUGCAGCCUUAAAUAUUUGGAAGCAUGACUUCCUGGUUUGCAUGGCAGUUGGCAAAACUUUCAGGGGAAAGAUGCAUGUGGUAUAGGGCACUCAUUUGCCUAAAAGUUUCCUCCUAUCACCUAAUGUUUUGGUGCUCAUCUCUUCCACACCUUUGGAGGAGAGCUGCAGCAUCCUCUCUGCGGUGCUUUCAACCCCUCAGACAGAUGUUUUAGAUCAAUUGCUCGAAACGGAUCAGUUUAGCAGUCAGAAAACACUGUCAGAAAAGGUUUGUGGUAGAGAAGACAAAACUGUGAAAUGAAAUUGAACUUUUAUCCCCAUUUGGAUGGGAACUGUGCGUGGCUGGAGAUCCCAUGAGGAUGAACACAGUGACCUAUCGUGCUUUGAAAAACCAAACAGAUGACAGGGCUCAUCUGCAGCCAUCAAGCAACAGCAGCUUCUGAGAAAUGGUGUGACCACUAUCAUGCAGUGCAGCAGGAACUAAGGGAAAGAUAAUCAUGGGAAAGAGGAAGGUCCUCCUGCAGCAAGGCAAGAUGAUGGUGAUCUCCUGCCAGGCUACAAGUAGCACUGCUGCCCUUGCUGUGAAGGUGUGACAACACAAGACAUGCCGUUGCUGCUGGACAUUGUUUGAGCCAUGAUUAAUGUGCCAGCAGUAAUGGGUGUCAGCAUUGUCUGGCUGCAAUUGGCACACCUUAUUUCUGAGAACUCAGGGUACGGAGGCUGCUGUGGUCACUGUGGCAACCAUGAGCCCUUCAACAAGACAGAGAGAUCUCAACCCAAACCGCUAUCUGUCUGCCUCUCCCUGGGUAUGUGUCAGCACGAAUCUCCAAGUGUACUUUCUUUCCCUUAGAAGGUGUUGUGUGCUGUGUCCCGUGGUGACCUGCACAUAUGCUGAGCUGGAACUCUGCUUGGCACCAUUCCUCAGCCUAUCCAUGUUGCAGUGCAAUCGUAAUAUCAUGAGAUGGCUUGGGUUGGAAGCGACCAUAAAGAUCACAUAGUUCCAACCCCUUGCCAUGGGCUAUGUGCCCCCUACCAGCUCAGGCUGCCCACGGCUCCAACCAACCUGGCCUUGAGCACCUCCAGGGAUGGGGCAUUGUCAUGUCUCCAAUGGCAAAUGUGUUCCUAUCAUGGACUGUGCCUCUGCCCCUCCAUCACUACUGUGCCCUGCAUGCCUGUGCCACUUGCUUUUUGGUCGCAUUGUACUUUGUUUCAAGAUGUUUUGCAGCAUGUUGCCUUUGCCUGCUUGCCUCCCUCCGUCUCCGUGCUGGAUGAGUUUGCAUUGUGUGGUGUUUUCCUCUUCAUUUAUUGCAAACAAAUCUGGUCUCUGCCAUUUGUUUACUCUUAUACUCUGUCUUUAUGCCUUGGUAUGCAUUUUUAAUUAGAUGCGCUUCAGUUCUUUCGCUGCUUGUUAACACUUUCGGAUGGAAAGUGCGGUCCCCACCAGCUCUGCUAGUAUUCUCUGUGUGGAGGAAAUGCAGAUUUGUUUCUCCUGCCCCUGAUUAUCAUCCAGUACCAAGAGUCGGGCCCCAGCCAGCCUGCCUGCUCAGACCCUAUGUUCCUACUGGGGAUGUUAAGAUGGUUGCCCCUUCUCAGCCAGUGUAAUUGAGGGUGCUUUACUCCAAAAUACUCUGCAUACAGAGAAGGAGUGUUUGGGCUGUUUGCUUGGACUGUUUUCAGGCCUCGUCAGCUCCAGUGUGGAUGUGUGACAUAGAGGAGUCCUGGGCAGAGCCCGCGGUGUGUGCAAAUCAGCUGCGUGCUGUCCCAAGCCCUUCUGCACACUAUGAUCAGGAGCAUCCUGGGGAUGUUGGCCACAGAAUAAACAGAGGAUGGAUGAGCCUGGAUAAGGAUACUGAAACCCCAAGCACAAGGCAGUAUUCACAAAAAGGCAUCUUUCUUGAGUGCCACUAUUGAUAAAGCAUCAUUUCUUUUUCUUAAAAAUAGUGUGAGCCCAUUUGUGCUUGUACUAUUUUGUUCUGCUUCUGUAUCUGACUCAUGCCAUGGGCAGGGGCCUUCACCCUCCCUAGUGCUCUCCUAGACCACCAGCUUUCUGGAGAUGGUGUGGGAACUGAGAUGGAAAAUCUUGACCCCACUCCACCCUUCCCUUCCAGUUUGCCUGCCCUGCUGAAGCAUUCACUCACCUCCCUGUUUUGCCAGAAUUCGUGUGUUCUCCAGAAUUUAAGUUCCUGAGAGGGAUGGCAGGACUGAAAAGAGGUGAAAAUGUCUCUUCCCAUCUCUGAGAGUGUUCCCUGACCCGACUCUCUGACUGGGGGCGAGGUUGCCAGAGGUCAAUAUCCACUUCAGUGAGUAGAGAGAUCGAUAUCUGCUGAAGCCAAUGCCCAGGAUUGUUUCCUCUUCCUUGCCAGCACUAUAUUUUAUAGAGAACAGCCAAGAAAUAUUUCUCCUCCCUUCUAAGGAGAAGAAGGGGGAGGAAAAAAAAAGAAAGAAAAAAAUGGAGAAAAAGAAAAAAGCUUUGUCUUCAUACUUUCUUCCCCCAGGAGGGCAUUGCAUUUAGCCUCUGCUCUGCUUUUUGUUAUCCAUUUGCAUGGCACGAUGUUUGCUUUGGCCAAUAGGGCAGCGCUGGCUCCUUGACUGGGGUGGGGUUCUGCCGGUACCCAGCGGUGUGCAGAAUGGGGACAUUCAGCCCUCAGCCCUAGGUAUUUUGGGGAUGCUGGGAUGCAGAGGACAUCCCAGAUGGUGCGGUUUCAUGGGGAGCGCCAUGGUGGUGGGAGCAAAGUGCUCAGUGCUGAGCCUGAGCACUCCAUGGAGCCACUCCAUGGAGCAACAUCGUGUUGGCAGGAGGAUGAGGUGUAUGAGCUAAUAGGGCUUUUCCAUUUUAAUGUCUAUUCAAAAAUGACUCUUGGUUGCUGUUCUCAAACUCGGCACCAACCGUUCCUUACACCACACAUCAGAUCUUUCUUUCUUUUCUGCCCUUUGCUUCAUGGAGAAGGCUUUAAAGCAAACAAACACCAAACUAUGAGAAACCAAGGGAAGAUGCAGACUGGCCCACUCGUUAGUGCCGGAGUGUGGAAACUAUGAAGACUUCUUUUUUUAUUACCAAUGCUGGAAAGCACAGUCACCGAGUGGGCUGGAAUACAAGUUAUGCUACACGCAGUAGUUAAAAAAACCUGCAAAAAUGGGUGUAACCCGUGGCUGUGGUACAACUGGCCUUUCAGCCCCCACUUGAGAUUCGUCCAUCCCAGGGGGAAACUGUGGUUUGGAAGAACAGUGUACAUUUAAUUUCACUCGGAGAACUUAUUGGAGUUGGCACUUCAAGAAAGACUCUGAAGUAUAUUUUUUGUCAUGAUGAGUGGCCCCCUCACCACUGCAUUUGAUUGUGUUGGAAGCAGAAAAGUUAAAUUCUUAUAAAAUGAUGAUUUACAAUCCCUGAUGAUCCAGGUAGGGCGCGCGGAUUGCGCCAGCGUGGUUAUGGGACUCCAAUCUCAUCCUCUCUCAUUGCUGUGAGAAAAUAAAACCGAAAUGUAAAAAAGCUGAAAACACAUCCUCUGAUGGCUCGGGGAAUUUUCUUACUCAUACGUUAUCUUUCCUAGUAGUUUAAGUUAUUUUGUCUCCACUAAAACCCAAAGCAAAACACUGCCCUGACACUUUCCCCUUGAUUUCUGAUCUGCGGCAGCCAAAUUUAUUUUUAUCUCGUGUCGUCUUUUCCCCCAUGGUUAUGCAAAUCCUCGGAAUAAGGGGCAAGGGGAAAAGCUAAUUUUAAAGCCAGUAAAUUCCAGUGGGAGAUUUCUUCAGUCGCUCCAAGCGGGACUAUCCUGGGUGCUGUUGCAGAGCUGUGGCUACCUCCAAAUAACACAGGGGUAGGUGCCAAGUGGGGAGGCUGAAUAUUUUCCUUGUAGACACAUAGCUUUGCCCACAGGACUGAAGUCUCUUGCCUUAAUGCUGCAUUAAGCUUCUCUGGAAGUACAAAGCUGACUUAGGAGGCAUGUGUUGAUGAAAUGUACCUCAUUGCAAUCGGCUGCUGAGUAGAACCUCUACAUGGAGGAGUUUGGCAAUGGGUGAAGGUGGGGCUCAUCAGAACUAUCUUCAGGAAAGUGUGGGGCAUUGGCACCUCAUUGCUUAUUCCAGCAAACUUUCUCUGUUUUGGCUAUCACGUUCUAUAUUUUGAUAUACUUUUAGUCUUUCUUUCUCACUCUCUUUUUUUUCCCCUCCUGAACAGCGGAUGUAUUUUUAAAUAAUAAAUUCCAUUUUCUUCUUCAUUUCUCUAUCUUUUUCCCCUUAAUGCAAGCUUUACUCAAAUCUGUUUAAAUCCACAUUUAAAUCUAAUGUACAGUAAGAGAUACUCCACGAUUUUCCAGGCUGAAAAAUCCAGGAGUGUUCACACUGGGAUCUGCUUUGUGAGCAAACUCAAGUGUGUAUGCAAGUGUUGGAGCUGUAGUCUGUAGUUCAGUUUUACUGAAAGUACUGGAGGCAAUCAGAGUAUAUGGCAAGCAUAACGGCUUCUAAACAGCACUGUGCUCUUGUUCACAGUGCUGGUGCUGGGUUAGUUGAUGCAAUUCAUGGUCAAUGUCUGGAAUCACAAUCAGAUCCUCUUUGCUCCCCCUUUGAGUGCCGUUGCAAUACUGCAGCAAAUUAACCAGAGACUGCUGUGGGGCUGAAGUUUCUGUAUCCAGCAAAACUCAUGAGCCCCUCCUGGUGUGAUGUGUCAAGGGGAUGUAAGCAUAUCUGUAAAUGCUGUGUGGUUUGGGAAGUGUUUAAAUACUCAUGGAGGCCUUUCUCUGUUCUGGGGAAGGGAAGAUGAGGAUGUGAAUACUGAUGGAAAUAAUUUAGGUGCAAGGUCCCAGGUUUGGAAAAUUUGGCCCAUAAAAUGCAUGCGCUAGGGGUGCUUGUGGUUGCAUAAGAUAACAAAAUGCACAAGUCAUGUGGAUUAAUCUCUCGAGUUACUGCAGGGGCAUAUUGUGUUCAUGUUCGUGUAGCCUGAUUAAGCUGCGUAUGAAUUUACAUCCCAGCCUUGCAGCCUAAUAAACCUAUAUGGUUUAAAAUGCACGGCGGGGGCUUUGUGCGUAAAUUCUGCUCUCACGAAGCAUGGUGUGCACGUCUGACUCUUCUUAGAAAGAGCCGAGCGCGUCCCAUUCCGUCUGCAAAUGGGUGUCUGAAUGCCAAAAUAAGUAGGAUAAAUAAUUUGCUUGAAAUAUGUGUUUGGGAGCUUUCAACCUAGAUGCUCUCUUCCAAACGCUCAGCUCUUCAUUUGCAAAUUCUCCGGUUUGUUCAAACUUUUGGACUCCAUUUGAUCUGGCUGGAAAUGAGAGCACAUCAGGCCUCGUACGUAAUCAGAAAAUGUCGUGUGAAAAACGAAGACUGCUGGGAGUAGCAUCUUUGUGGGAUUCCAGCUAAACCAAACUCGUUCGGUGCUGCUCCAGCCCUGAGCAAACCGGCCUCAUGUCUGCAUGUGCAGCCUGGGUUACUCCUGAGAGCGGCUCCGGGAAAGAGUUAAGCCUGUUCUCCUCUCCUAGUUGGCAGAAAGUUUGCAGUUUAAAAUUACAUACUGACUCUGGUGUAGAGACACAAGAAAUUAUAGAGCAGACACUGUCCAGGACAACGUAUAAUUUAAAAUGUACUAAAGAAUGUAUACCACAUGGCAAAGUAAGUGAAGUGCUUCUUCAAAUAUAAGUGUUUUGCAUAGAAAGGCUGUAAUUAUCCACUCCUAGGGAAAUGUUUGCAUUCAUUCUAAAUCAAUAUUUACUAUUCAUCUCUUGUGUUCAACAAAACAAGGAUUUAACAUUUUUUUGUUUUAAUGAGGUACUAAAACUACAAUAAUGCUACAGUGUAAUUGUCUUGAUACAAAAUAUUGCUAAAUUGUGUUGCUAUUUCGGGAGCGAGCAGUUUUUAAAAGGAGGGGGUAUCCCUGUUUGUGCCAUGUUCCUGCAGUAACACAAUCCAAGCUCAGCCAAGCAGGGCGGCUCACCACUUCCAAAGCGGAGUUAAGCCGCCUCUCUGUUAAGGCCCUUAACUGGGAUCAUUCGGGUGAGUCCUCUGUCUCCCCCCGAAAACAUCAACCUCUUUAUAAUGAUUCCUUUUCAGCUGGCGUCUCGACAACAAGCAGAAGAAUGCCAUUUCUGUUUCGGGUUUAAGGUUGUUUUCUCCCCUCAGCAUCCUUCAGAGAGGCAGCAAGAGCUGAGCGGGUGGUAAUUGGGCUGCAGCCAUCCCUGCACGCUGCUCCGAACCUGUUGGUGCAAAUGGGGUUGCCUGAACUUCACCUUCCAGGAAGAAUUUGGGGAUGUUCUGUAGAACGGUGCCAGAGCUCUGUCCUUUAUCUUUUUUUUUUUUUUUUUUUUAAUGCAUUUUUAUGCAUUUCCUGGGCACUGCACAGUGUUGAAGCGGCCCUAAAAUCAUACAGGGGCAAGCAGUCCUCUGCAGGUGAGAGUAUGCUGGUGAAGUAAGAGCACGUGAAGAGGGGCAGAGCUUUUGGAGGAGCACCACUUUUAAUCACAGCCUUGCAUCUCUGCUGUGCUGUGAUUAAGAGGAUGCCCUUGCACCAAGCUCUUUCUCCUUGAAUUUACCUGACAUGUCUUAAGAGAGGUAUCUCUCCAACUACUCUAACUUCAAAAAAGAGAAACCACACCCCAUGAGCAUGUACUUCUGGCAUUGAUGUGGCUCCACGUGAAUCAAAUCAUAUAACUGGAAAGACUUUGUUUGGAAAAGCCUUUAAAAUCCUUUAAAAAAAACAAAAAAACCAAAAACAUGACUUUUUAUGCUUACGCUCUACCCACCAGGCUCUGCCCUCCUUUUCCCAACACUAAAUGCUUCCACUUCUGCUGCUAGAAAUCAUGGUACAAAUGUGAGCUCUUGAGUGAAUUUCAUUCUUCUGUUCAAGAAGAUAGCUUCGUUUUCUUUGUUUCUUACAAAAGAAAAAAAAAAUCUGAAGUCAUUCUUCCAAAAAAAAUCGUGCACAUAAAUAGGGUGAAUAGCCCUGAGAGAAGAGUGCUCUCUUUCUCUAGCAAACGUUAUUGAAGCUGGUGUUUUAAUUCUCCAGAUAUCUCUUGGUGUUCAGGGUAACAAAAGGCUGUGUAGUGCCUAAUCAUUCAGCAGCGAUCCAGGAAAAAGCAGAAGGUUAAGAGCAAGUUCCUAAAGUCUGUAAAAUCAAUGGGACGCUGGAAAGGGAACUGAAGUGUACCAGAAGGGACCUCUUGAGGGUCAUUAAAAAAAGCAGAAACUGAUUAUGAACAGAGCUUUUACCCAAAGAACUGGAGGGGGCCAGCAAAACCAUUCUGCUGCACUCCAGUUAAAUGUCUAAUAGUGGUGACAUUUUCUACACAGCCCAUAAAGGAUAAUGAAGAUGGCUUUGAUAGCUUUCAAGAUAGUUGUUCUUGUCAGUGUUCACAAAAACAUGACAUGAGCAUGCACUAAGAGCAUGCGGGUUGAGGUGAUUGCACCAAGACUGUGAAAGGGAAGAUGGCAACCCAAUAUUGGGUCUUCCACCUUUGUAUUACGCCCUAUUACACAAGAGGAAAAAAUUGUGUCAGCCUAAAAAUGCAAUGGAAGUGGCAACAGUGACAAAGCUCAGUGUUGUGCUUAACCAACAUCGUACCUCACCUUGGUGUGGUGGUUAUGUGCAGAGAGGUAGCGAUGUUGGGCGAUCUCACAAACAUCAGCCUAGAUUCUCUCUCGCUCCAAAGCAGAUGAGAAAUAAGAUUUUGAUCUAAAGCUUAUCAAAAUCCCUCAUCGUCAGCAAAGUUUGGAUCAGCACCUCAUAACUUUCUGCUCAUUUUCUGUGCUGGGAAAAAGCAACCUGCAGGAAGUCUGUCCCAUGGCAUGUUUGUGCUAUUCCUGUUUCUGACCCCAAUCUUCUGUGAGAUUUUGGUGAAUUGCAGUUUUACUAUGAUGUACGGGAACAGUUAAAUCAUGGCCUGAACCUCUGAUUGAUCAUCUGAGGCAAGCACCAAGUCAGCUGCAGGGGCACAGGUGAACGCAAUUUCACCUGAGUGACUGGAAGGGGUGGAGCCUGGCUGCACCCCUCCUAGACCCCAUUUAAGGGCUGACUCCCAAGGAGGAUGGAUAUCUAUCUGGAGAUCCUUCCUCUUGGAGCCCUUCUAUGAGCCCAGGAUGCGGGUAAGAUCUUUAUUUCAUUUCUGCUUUGUAAUGCGAUAAUCUCUCUGGUCCAAUAUCUGUAUACCUGUUUGCCAUAUGCUAUGAUUUAUUUUCCAAAAAAGAAAAAGAAAAAAAAAAAAAAAAGGAAAAUUAGGGUAAACUCGCAUAUCUUACUGGAAUGCUCUAAAAAAAUAUUUGUUAGAAAAUAUUUGAAAUAUCAGUGGGAUGAUGCUUUAGUUCGGGGUGAUAUUGUUCAUCUUAAAAAAUAAGUAGCUAGUUCAUCUUCGGUUUUGGUCUACAGUGAAGAUGUGUUGGAAAAAAUAACAGAAACUUAGAGUAAAAAUCAACUUUGAGUUCUUUGUACUUCAGAGGAAGCAAACUUUUUUUAUAGAAAUAGAUAUUCACAGGGAUGAAUUGCAUGUGAGUCUGUUUACUAGUGGAAAAGCUGAAUUGUGAAACUUCUGUGUCACUGCUCUGUGAUUCCAACUAUCUUCAAUUAAGAGAAAAAAAAUGCAGGAAAAUCAGGUGGAAGGAAUGCAUGGAAAUUGAAGUCAAAGAAAAUAUUUGUUGUGGCCUUGGUAAAGUGAAUUUUCUAAGCUGAAGUAGCUUUUAAGCAAUUAACAUCUGCUGAGUGAAAUUACCGAGUGACAUGCAGCCCCAGAUGGAGGACUUGAACAGCCAGUGACCAUCUGGAUUUUGGUCUUUGCACAGAGCACGCUCUGUUCUGGCUCUCACCUGGCCUGUGGACAGCCCUCUAUCUGCCUCUCCUGCCACCGUCAGCCUUGAGUCAUGGUGGGGAGACCUGCAGGGAUGGUUCCUCUGCUCACAUCAACUCCAAAGAUACUCGAAUUCCCCAGAGAUAUAAUCACUGAUGACUUUGACCUUUGAGUUGUUGCCUUGACCCAGUUUUCCAAAAGGAGAAAAACUUACUGGGAUAAAAUCCACCUUUGAGCCAUAAGGGUCUUGAUACACAAUGGUUUCCAAUGAAACAUAUGGCGUGGGAGUCUUGGCAUCUGAAAUGCCAAGAAAAUCAGAUCUUAAAGAGAGAAUUUUGUCAGCAGGCUUUCAUAUUAAAAAAAAAAAAUAUAUAUAUAUAUAAAAUAUAUAUAUUAAUACAAUUACCUUCCUUAGAAGGUGUAAAAGAUGUCAGGCCCAACCACAGGGACAAUUCACUGACAAAAUUCAGUUUUUAAAGUGAAACUAUAGUUUUUUUUAAAUUCAAUGAAUAAAAAUCAUCUGACAAAGAGUUUUUGACUACUCUGUAUCUAAAAAUGAGCCAGCUUCAUUUAGUCUAUUUAAAAAUUGUGUAUUCAUACUGCUUGUAUGCCAAGUUCAGCAUGAUGGAAAUGAAAAUGAUUGAGGUAUAAACCCUUGGAAAACAGGGUUUAUAAUGGAAACAGUAAUUGACUUCUAACUACCGCAUCAAAAAUACAAUACUAUAAUACAAAGCCUAGCUCUUGGGAUCUCAGCUCCCUUCUAACCUCAGGUUGGCAGAAGAACACCUCACCACAAAGCUAACUAAUGUUUAUAGCUUGUUUUUUUUCUCUUGCAAAAGGAACAUGGCAAGUGAAGAAAAUUUAUAGGAACAAAGCAAAGUUGGCCAACAGUUCAAAUGUUCUCUCUUGUUAGCAACAACAUUCUUCUUCCCUGGAUGAAUGCUGUAUUUUGGCUGAUAACUUUAAUCAUGAAACUUGAGUCAGAACUGAGCCUUACUCUCAGCGUUAGAAAUAGUUCAACUGUUCCUCCGAAGUUCACGCACUUGGUUAUCCUAAAAGGAGAAGAUUAAAAAAAUAAAAUCAACAGCUGUAAAAAUUUCCCCUUUCCCUGUAUGGCCAUGAAUAGCACAACAGGAAGGAGAGGAGAGAUGGCUGUGGUAAUGGAACAAAGUAGAUUUAUUGAUCUCAUUAAUGAUGCUUACCCAAGAUAGUCAUCUUUGCUUAGACUGAGCUUAGGUGCCAUUUUUGCUGCUAAUUAUGAUUGUGAAGACAUCAUGACAUCUUGGAUUAGAGUGAAAGUAGUGGUACUAAUUCUCAUUAGGAGCUGAAAACCAUGGAGGACCAGGAAUUUCAACAGGGGAACCAGCACUCAGCUAUGGCUGAAUAAGAUAGACCCUUCUAUGGAUGUGUGAAAUAAAAAUGAGUACUCUAGGAUCAGUAUGCAUUUAAUAGAAGAAGAAAGAAAGACAAAUUCUACUGAGAUCUUUGUGCCUGCAGUACUUCAACAAUUCUUGCUACUUUAUGUAUUAUUAUUUUAUUAAGUUCAUAUUUUCACAGGUAAUGAAGAAAAACAGAGAAUGCAGGAGCACUUUGUGUCCAUAAAUGACUUUAGUUCAGCUACAGAUGAAGAAAAAAAGUAAUUCUAUUUUCUUUAGGUAUUGUUGAAGGUAUACCGCUAUAAUCUCAGAUUUUUUUUAUGUACCUGCACCUUCGCUUCUGCCAGAAUUACUUGCUGCAUUCAUCUAGCUGCAGAGAGACUCUGCUGAAGGAAAGAUUGCACGCAAGGACCUCAAUUCAAUGCCAGGAGACGUGCCUUAAUCUCUGGCUCACAGCCUUGUCAAAUGCUGCAGUAAAGAACUGGCAAGCUCAGUGCUGCUAAUGGAUUGAAAUCUCCACCAGAGAUAUGCUGUGCAACCUCAGCUUGCCUUUUCUAUGAGCAGCUGAAAGACGUCGCUAAGCAGAAUUUACCCAUUUGCAAUGGCAUUUUGAGCCCAAGCGGGCCUUGGGCAGGGUGCAAAGAGAAACAAAGAAGUUUGUCUGCGAGGCUUUUACUGAAUCUUAGCCAAAGGUACGAGUCUUUUAACGAAGAAAUACAGCUUCUACAGACUUGCUUUCUCUUCUUCAGUAUAAAUUUUGAUGUAUAAAUAACGUUCCUACGGAGACCUGGUCAUCUGCUGGUAUUGAUCACCUGCCUCCCUGUCCUCCAAGGUCUGAUUCAGUCAUAGCCUGAAACAAAUGUCAGCACCUUUACUGGAAAAUGUAGUAAACAGUGGAUUAGACAAACGAGAGGGCUGGAAAUGGGUCUGCUUCAAGUCUUACCGCAUACCUUGUGGAGUGAUGUCUGGAGAUGGUGGAGUUGUGUAUCCUCCGUUGAGACUGCCUUCAUGGCACAUUUGUUUCAAGGCAUGCAAUUGAGACGCUCGGAUACCGAUGUUCAGAGCCCUCUUCUCCUUGCUUACCUAAAUUUAGUUAAAGAGCCCUUGAGAUAAGCUGCAGCCACAGGUGAAAUCUCUCAUUUCUUUGGCUACUUAUAGAUUACCAUGAUCUGCUUUGGUUUGGAACAGCAGCUACCCAAAGGUGAUGCUGUGGGAAUGCUACCUUGAGGAGGAGGAGGGGGGGGGGAAGUGGAGGGGGAGAUGAAAACUCCUCUGAUUUUUUUCACAAUAGUUAUGCCCUGAGAAUCAUUGCAUUACUCCCAUUCCGCAACACAUAAACACACGUCAGAUGUGUGGUAAACCAAAUUCUCUCAGGAGCUUGUCCUGAAAGAGGGAAAGACACGAUGAUUUAGAGUCUACAUCUGCAGCUCUUGCAGCUGCUUCAGUUCCUGCUGAUGGAGGAAAAUUCCCUGCAGCAACAGCCUCCUGAGGCAGAGGCUUAGAGCAGUUCCUGAAGCAAAGUCCCAGAGGCUUUGGGCCCAACGCUGUCACUUGCCCGUUGGGCAGGUGAGGAGCAAGCAGCCACUGUGCAGCAUGGUCACUUCUGCUGUCAGAUGCAUCACCUGCAAGUGGAAGAGGGCUGUGUAUCACUCUUUCUGGAUUCUUUAAGAUUUUUAGAAAGGCAGAUUAGAGCAGGCAACUUCCUAAACGAGGUGCAGGGCAUGGUGCGGCCUUGGCAUACCCUUGGUUGAAGCUCGCAGGGUGAGCUGCCAAUGGGUGUGAAGCCUGCAGGAAUGUUUUCACUGGUGGGGAACACGUGAGACUUUUCUUCAGCUUCUUGCAGUAAGAGGAUGUUCUGGAGGGAAGUCUCAUGCAACCUCUGUAUUUUGAAGUUGUUCUCGGUGACAGACUGGGAAUGCAGCAGCACCAGCACUGUGAUUCUUUCCAACCUAUGUGUAAAAAAACACCUCUGUACUAAACAGCUUUUCUGCCUAAUGAGCUAAUAAUGCAUCUAUGAGUUCAGUUAUUAAAGUAAGUUUUUAUUGCUUUUUGCUUAUGUUAGCACCCCAGACUCACCAAACAAGUCGGGUAGACUGGCAAUUACCAGGGCUCUAGGAACAGGGAUUCAGCUCCCUCCUUCCUCUGCAGUGAGGAAAGGAGAUGGGACCAGACCCUAAAGUCCUAGGGAGAAGUGUUCACCUGCUUGUUGAUUCACUGCCGGCUGUGUUCCCUGACUGCAAUCAGAGCACAUUUUCCCCUUCAGAAGUUUAGAAUCAAGGAGAAGGUAAACACAUGCCAAAUCUUGCAGUGAUGUUGGCCCGCUCCCAAAGUUGCAACAUAAUGAAGAAAACGUUCAGUUUAGAACUCUGUGCCCCUUUUUUACAACAUUCCUUAAGUUACUCAUGACAGAUGCAACUUUCCUGGCUCCAGAGGCUGAAACCAAGAUUCUGAGCUGUUAUCCUCAAGGAUAUUGCAUGAGCAAGCCCUCUCUACCAUGGCAUUACUGCUUCAUCCCAGGAAUAAUUCACCUGAUGCACCCUGAGACCAUGCUGCCUUUUUCACAGGGUAAUGUUAAUGGCUAAAAUGAUCAGAUGGGAUGUGACCUUCGGCUGCCCUGGGCAGAUUCUCCUAGGUGACUGUACUGUGGGACUGUACAGAGCCAUGCUGGAUCAGAAAUGGAAAACAGAACCAUAGCCAGCAACAGAUGGAUAGAAGAAUUUUGGCUGGAUGUUGCACAAAAAGGUCUACGUACUCUUAGGUUUGUGGUAGAAGAGUUCUCCAAGAUGCUAAUUUUAGGUACAGUUUGAUGUAGAACAUUUGUUCUUCAAUAUCGACGACCUUCUUCAAAAGCACACAUUAUUCCAGACCUUGGGUAUGACAUAAAGGGUUAAGCUGUCCUGUUGUACGGAGAAGCCAGAGCCGCCUCACUGCUCUGUGAAAUCCAAGGAAAGCAGUGGCUCCCGAAAUUCCCUCCCUUGCCUGAACAGUUUGAAGACUGGUUUCUGUCCUAACUUGGUCUGAAUCUGCCUUUGGUGCCAUUGUGGAGGGAGAAAACACUUCAACUGUGGCUUUCCCAACAGCCUUUUCCUGGGAUGGAUAUUUUCUUCUACAGAAGAAACUUCUACAGAGAAAUUCUGAUACGGUCAACUAACUAGAGCAUCUGGUGUAUGCAGCUGGUCUAAGGAUUCAGCAAGAGGUGAGACCAGGAGCUGUUUAAUCACCACAAACAUGAAGACUAACCCAAGCAUGCUCUCCCUUCUCUGGAGGAAGUCAAGCAGCAGCACUGAGGCAUAAAUGUUCAAGUCCCUUCCAGACGUCUUGCCUGCUUCUGCCUUGAGUCACUAGAAAAACAAGGUGGUUUUGCUGGGUGGAGAUUUGUGUCAGAAUAACUUGCAGAACCGAGCCCUCAGUUUGCAAACGGCGUCGAACUUCAGUUCAUUAAAAGAAAUUUCAGAGGUGAGCUUCGUGAUGCUUUAAACAAUCACUGGAGGAAAAUAUUGGAGCUUUCCACCAAGGCCGUGAGCCAAGCCAGGUUCCAUCUGUGCACUCUCCUCUACUUGAGUGGUCACGUCCAUGUGCCAUUACUAAGGAUGUAUGGUGGAAUCAUGCCAAGCCUUCAACCUCACAUUUUGAACUUCUCAAUAAGAAAGACGGGGGGAUGGUUUUAAAAAGCAAAAGUCCAUGUUCUUAAGCAUCAUACUUGCUCUUGGUAUUACUGGCAACGGCUGCCCAGGAAUCACUGUCCCUGGAGGUAUUCCAGAACCACAGAGAUGUGACACUGAGGGACACAGUGAGUGGACAUGGUGGGAGUGGACUGCAGUUGGACUUGAUCCUAGAGGUACCUCUGAGAGACAAAGGUCAGGAAAUGGGCUCCUUGCCAGGCCACGGCCACGAUCCAGGUUUUCUGAGACUGAGUACAUUCAUCUGAGCUGUUAGCUGCUACGCUCCACCGCAUCCCUGUAUGAUCUGCCUAGGCUUGGUCCCCCAGAGGAAAUUUCUGCAUGCAUACUGUAUAUGAACUUUAGAUAAAUAAAUAAACACGAGAAACAGCUUCCAGAUAAUUGAAAGCGAGUGAAGGAGGGAGCAAAAAGAAAACAAUUUCUCAGGGGAGAAGCAAGCUGAGGUGGCAGGUGCAGCCUAAAUUCAGCCAAGGUAUUUUGGUUGUUCACUACCUUCGCGUAAUUAAAUAUUGAAGCACGCUGAGCUGUGGUAUCAACAUCUGUAUGGUACAAAUACCUUUUCAGCCCAGCUGGACUCAGCUGCAUUAUCUGUGACCUGAAAAGCACACGCUCACCUUGGUUAAAUGGGGCUCGACUCAGCAAUAUUCAGCAGAGCUGCGGCGGUUCCUGGCUCCGGCCACCAAGGCUCCACAGGAUUUUCACUGCUCAGGUGUUGCAAAGCCUAAUCCUUAUUCAGGAACCAAAACGCUCCCCUCUCCUUGCCUGCGGUGCUUGGAUGCCUGCCUUUGGCAGUAGCCCCAGACUCCUGCAGAAGAUGAAGACAUCCCUCCAUGCCUAUAGAUGGAAAAGCGCCAACAUGGAUGCCAUCAGAAGGACGCAGCUGAGCAUAUGCUGAGAAAAUUGUGGCAUCCAUACUGUACAUGGGGAAGGGCUGACUGAACACACCAGUUUGUUGAAGCUUAUGGCCCUGAAAAGGAAACAUAGGUUUCCUGUAAAUGUCAUUCAGGGAUAUGCUAACUGUUAUUUCCUGGCACUGGAUCAUGAUGCUUUCAACACAUUCUGUUCCUCUACCUCUGCUGCUACCUCUGCUGCCUGCCUGCCUGGUUGUGCGCAGUGAUAGCUCUCCUGUCUUCUCACCUUUCCUCCUCCCCGCGCCAGGCAAAGGUAUUCUGGUUGGGAGGGCCAAUGUCAGCGAGCGAGAUGACAGACGGAGAGAUGAAAUCUCAGCCCUGCACUCAGCCUGGCUGCUGCCUGUACCUGGGCCUUGCUGCACCAUCCCUUGAACGCAAAGCAAUUCAAGGAAAAGAGUAACUUCUGUUACAUUAGAAAUCACGCAUUUCUGACCCAGAAAGAGAGGAAUUUCACAGUCUCUCAGGACAUGUGCUUGAAGGGAGGAUUUCUGGAGCCUAAACCAGAGGAGCCCAGGAGCUGCUGGUGUGAAGGCUCACCGCAAGCACCUGCUGCUUCUGGAGGAGUUCCUGUGGCAAUGCAUGUGCUCAGGAUGAAUAGGUACAGCUGUCCAGUUCUAGUAGAUAUUUUUCCCUCUGGUUUAUACAUAUUUGAAAAGCUACACAUGAAUAAACACAUAAAUUAAUGCUAGAUGUACUUCUUAUCCAUGCAAGUGUGAGCUGUAUGUAUAUAGAUACACAUACAAAUAUGGGCAUAGUUAUCAGCCUUGGUAUCCUACUUGUUAAGGUAAUUGUGUCAUUUAAAUUCUGUCAUACUUGGUUCAAGACAGAUUCAUUAACUGGUCCUAUUUAUUACUCCAGGAUCUGAGCACCUGUUUCUUAGAGGUAAAACCAGAAUAAAUCUCCUAAUUUCCCAGGUUCUUUUACAUUUUUGCUUCGAAAUAAUGAGACGCUUAUAUUCAAAGAAAAAAAAAAUGAAAUAUCUGAUGCUGAAAAAUACAAUCAAGUUAAUUUUUUAGGUAUACCGAGGUGAAAUUAUUGCAUUUGUUUGUCUGUGUAGAUAGUUUUCUUUGUGCUGGCGUAAGACCUGAUGCUGGCCAUAUUCUGUGAACACAGUUAUUAUCAUAUUUAGUAUCUUAAAUGUGUACGUACAUAAUUGCUUUAUAUGUGUUUGUGCUUCCAACAUAUCAGACUGGCUAAGAGAGAGCACCCAUAGCAGUAUCAAAUUGCUUAUUGCUCUCUCCACAGUCAACUAGAGCACAAGGAGGAGAGGAAGGAACAACAGAAGCUCUGACUAACAAUUUCUCUCUCUCUCCCUAUUUAUUUAGGAAUCCAAGUUAACAGAAGGAAGAAACAACUCUUUUGUAGUAAUGCUCUGUAGGGCAUUAUCACAGCUAAUCUUAUGGUGGUAUGUUUUAGUCCAAAAAUGUUACUGCUCAGGUCCAUGCUACACCAUUUGUCAGUUGUUUACACCCUACAUAUGGAUUAGCACUGUAUGCCAGCCAUGAAAACCUGUUCUGCUCUUAACCCACCUGCAUGAAGCGCUGAAGCAGCUCACUGCAUCUGAUAUUUAGCUUUACUUCCUUAAGAUGUUGGACCACAAGAAGCAGGCACAGGUACAGGUAACUUGGUAGUGUAAUAAACUCUCCCCAUGUUUCAUCCACCAUUGGCUGUCAAGUUUAAAGAUGUUUGUAAUGAUUUGCCACUGGUGAAAUCCAAAGUAAGACUAGGAAUGUGUCUGUUUUGGCCAACUAGUAAUGACAGCUUGAAUGAUAUUGCACCAAAGUACUUUUGGACCACUAUUGGUUCACUGCCUGAAAAUAAAAUCUUUUUAUUUAUUUUGUCUCCUAUACCCACCAUUCAGAUUUCCUUCAGGAAACAUACCCUGGCCCCUGUCCACUAUCGGAUAGGUGAGAGCGAGGCGGUCUUUGCAGUGGUUAAGCACAAAUUUUGCAGAGAAGGGAUAAAGUGUUGUGGGCAAGGACCUGUGGGCUGAAAGUCAGAGUGACCAUGAUGCAGUGCCAUCACCCCACCUCACAGCUCAGAGUCUUGCAUAUCGCAUGGGCUGCCUGGAGCCUACACAGUUCACAGAGUGGAAAAAGGAAUUGAAGAAGCAAAAAUAAAUACUAAAGCAUGUAAGAAUUAAAUAUCACCUAUUUAAAUAGCAAUUACGCCGCUAAAAACAAGAUCACCACACCUGUACAAGAAAAGACAAGCAAGCCCAAAACAUCUGUUUGCAUCCACCUGCCAAGCACCUGUUCCGCUGUUUCAAUGCCAUUUGAUUGCUGGAGAUGUAGAGGCUCUUGUGAGGCUGGUCGUCACACAGGAAACUGUAUGCAGAGUCCAUCAGCCCAUGCUCUUCAUCACGAACUCAGUUGCUCUUUAAGACCAUCUCCCAGAGAUGAGGAAGAUGCGUUGAUCCAAACGAGACGCAGCCAAGCUUGGAGCAUCCUCUCUGCUCCAUCCCAAGGAGAACGGAAGAGCUGGCAAGCUGAGACACUACCAGUACUUUGUGGAAACCGACAUAUGAAUUUGUUCUACAAAUGUGCCAGGGACACACUGAUCCAACAGUUAGAUCACUUCCAGAAGACACGGAGUUAGAUCUCUGAGUUCACUUCCAAUUGCUGACUACUACUAUCCAAUAAAAGAAAAAUUCUGCGUAAAGUAAACAAGGAAAAUGGAGGAGAUUCUGCUGGAAGGACAGAAGGGACAGCAAGCAUGGAGAUUUAAGUCAGAGGAAGACCAACUGUCACUGCAGAGGGGAAAGGGCAUGAGAAUGAGCACUGCAAGAAAAAAAAAUCAUCAAAAAAUUCCUCCUUCUCUGGGAUGAAUACAGGGGAGUAAAUGUGUUCCUACAAAAAUUGAAUUAUGUAGUGAUUUUAAAUAUGGUGUGAGAAUGAAGGACAUAUGAGCUGCAACGAGAGAACCAAAGAGGAAUUAUGUGAUGUGUUCAGGCUGGGAGUGUGCCUCACAUGACAACAGGAAGAGAGGAAAGGUGGAGGAAAAAAAGAUCAGAAUCUACUCUAUUCUGAGCCAUUAAUGUCAGCCAUGUUGAUGUUUUGUAGCUAGUUAUAUUUGCUGAUGGUUCCCACGCACUCAUGACAUUCAACUUUGCAUCAUCCCCUAAAAACUGGAAAGAUGUCUCUCUGAGAAUGACCUAUAGCUUUGAUAUCACCAUAACUAAUUUCCUUUUCCUAAAGUAAUGGUGCCUACUCUUGAGGAGCAGAAUGCUGUGAGCUUUUAUUUCCAGUCUGAGGAUAGUUCUGUGAUAGGUGGAAUAAUGCCAGAACCUACUUUUCAUUAGAUUGUAUGAUCUGACUUUAUCUUGCACGCUCUGUGUGGUUUGAGUGAAUAAAUCACACCAGAAUUUAUGGGGUUUUCAUCCUUACAAAUGAAUCUUCAUCAUUACUAUGUGGAUAUAAGUAUUCUUGGGCUGCAGAAGACAGUGAGACCCACCAGGGCAACACAAACUGAUGCCAACUUGCCACCUACUACUCCCUUAACCCAAAACUCCAAGGACCUGGGCCACUGAAACACUGGGAUCCCAUAGGGACCUGCCUGGCCAUUCCAUUUGGGGUUUGCAGGACAGGAUCCUGGUCUUUUGUGAAAACUGUUGACUAAAAAUUUGAUUUUCUCUUUCUCUUUUUUUCUUUUACCUUAAGAAGGGCAGAAGAGGAAUGGCCAGAAGCCACCUCCUUCUUUUUUGGACCAGCCUGCUUUUCUAAGGGCAACAAAAACCAACAGAAGUGGUAGAGAAGAUGAAUGCAUCUUCCCUCCCUUCACAUAAAUUUGUGGGUUUUUUUUUCCUGUUGUUGUUGUUUUAUCCUUUUUUGUUUUAUUAUUUUUCCUAUUUAUUUUGCAAUUGGAAAAGUCCUGGGAUUUCAUUAACAACUUCCCAGGAUGACAGUGAGACCCUCACGACCCAGCAGCGAGUCCCAGUUCCCACCUGGGUGCCUCUGGAGAGUGACAAAUCUCUUGGAUGUGCUCUAACAUCCCAGAAGCACAGGCCAGGAACAUCUGUCUGUUCCUUCCCUUCCUUCAGACUGCCCCGAGGAGGAGGGAGGCAGGCAAGUAAUGAUACGAAAGGCAAAGGCUCGACUGGCCGUGUUACAUUAGCCAACUCAAAUAAUUCCUCUUGGCUGUGGAAACAGCCUUCCCAUCCAAAGCGGUCUUUUUUUUUUUUUUUCCCUUUUUCCCCCCCAAAAAACAAGAACAGCUUAUUUCCAAUUUUGGGCAGGUUCCUUGGCCAUGGGCCAGCUCUCCCCAUUGCCUCUCCGUGCUACUUCCCAAUGACCCUCAAGUGACCUUACUGAAUGCCACGGGGACCAAACCUUACCGAACAGCAAAAUCAAAGUAUGCAAAUGAAGCUUGGAUUAUUACAUAUAUAAUGAUGAAAAUGUUUUUCCUAUGCUAUUGCCUGUGCCCAGCUUCCUUCCCUACCACUCUGAGUGCUUCAGAGCUGUGUAUAGCUGUUGAGCUGAAGCACCCAAGAAUGGCUCUGAAGCAGGAAGAGAGUUCAAUCUGCAGGCUGGUUUUCCAGGCACUUUCUUUCUCAUUCUCCACAAGAUAGUUGAUAUUCCUCCGGAUUUUGCUGUUAUUAUUUGGGUGUCUCUACUUCACAGAAAAGGGCAGAUGAAUGCCUUUUGCAGCCUCUUCAGUCCACUCUAGUUCUAUUUUAGGCUGAGAAGACUGUGCUGCUUGGGUAGAUGGGUGCAUUUCAUGCCAACAGCUUAGUCUUUCUGCAAAGUUAGGCAUCUCAGUUUGAAAAAAUAAGUACUAGGUAAAGCUGUUUGAAUCAGUGCAGGAAGCUGAGUUGCUAUCAGAUGUAUAUGGCAUAAAGUACGUAUCCUGAUAGGUACUCUUCUUCAAAGGAAAAGUGGUGAUGUUUACUUGUGCAUUUUAAUGAUGAGAGGAUGCGUACUGUGACACGAAAUCCUAUCCACUGUACCAGUUCAACAGCAUUUAAACACUGAAGUCUGAGCUACGCAUAACCAAUGGGAAGGAUGUGGAAGAACGCUUGCCUGAAGACACCUACUCUUUAUUUUUAUUACAAAGUCAAUUACCAUUUCAAAGCAGCCAUGUGACAUGUAUACUGUCAGGAGCCAGAUGUUGGCAUUGUGAUAUUGUGACAUUAAUUUAAAAGAAGAGUCUUUUUUUUUUUUUUUAAAUGCUGACUUCCCAAGGAUUAAGUUGGAUAUUCUCAAUGUAGUUGAAAAAAGAAUUUACAUUCCCCAAAGACAAACAUUCUUGUUUUCUGUUUGGUUUUAUAACUCAGUCAUUUCUCUAUUGAAGAAGCACAAAACAGAAAGAACUUUUGGUUUCAGGUAGUUUCACUUCAGCUGAUCUUUCUAAAAGCAUGCACCUUUUUAGCUGUUUCAGUUAUGAAUCAUAGAAUGGCCUGGGUUGAAAAGGACCACAAUGCUCAGCCAGUUCCAACCCCCCUGCUAUGGGCAGUUGCCAACCACCAUAUCUUCUUUAUAAAGGGAAGUUUAUUAAGUAAAAUUUGGGUUACUGAGGUUUUAGCACAUGUUGCAUUGAAUCCCUUUUUUUCCCCCCUAAAUCACGUGGUUAAACUUAGUUUGGGUCUCUUACAACCAGAAUCCCUGCUGACUCCGCUCUGGUCCAGGCAGAUUGAACUGAGUCGCAACACUGCUGGUACGCGUCCUCAUCCCCAGUGCCAAGAAAAACCCUUUCCCUCUGUGUUUUCUUGUUAGCAAUACUGCUAUGGAGGCCAAGGACUGACAAUCUUUCUCUUAAUUCUCAAAUCCUCUCCUCCAACAGGGAAGAAGGAAAAAGAUUGAAAAACCUUUUGCUAUUGUUUGGUUGUUUGAUCAUAAAGGGGAACUAGACUGCCAAGCCAGCACCCCAGCAGCCCUAAAUCUAUGUGUAAAAUAUGGGCAAAAGGAGAGAAAAGAUUUAUUGUUAUUAUUAUCAUUACAGACUACCUUUAUAAUAUAUGUGUUUCACUUAAAUUAAUAUUUUAUAACUCUAUAUCAGCCUCUGCAGCCACCCAACAGCAUUUCUUAUUUAUCCAGUCGGACAUACUAAUUUGCUUUUAUCAAAAUACUUGAGAAAUAAUUGUCUUACCUCUCCUAGGACAUGCUACAGGGUUUAUUCUCUCCUUGCUAUCUACAUAGUUAUAAAUCCUCAUGCAUUGAGAGCAGAAUAGGCUUUAUGUGUCUAGCAAUUUCUUAUGAUUUCUAGGCUAUUAUCCCCAAAUCCUAAUUAACCAUUUUUAAAAAUAAUGUGGCCUUUCUACCACGUGAGAUAUACCAACAUGAUAAGAUACGAUGUGAAAGUCCCAAGUAUAAUGUAAUUCUGCUGCUUUACUUUUCCUCUUUUAUUAGAGAUUUCUAACAUAAUACUGCAUUUUCAUCCAAAGUGACAGGAUUCAGUACAUAGUUUGUAGUAUAUGUUUUGCAAACUGCCAGAACAGAGCCAUUGAAUUUAGUUUUCUAAUAAUCAUACAGCCAUACAACACGCCUGUACAUGUCAGAAACUGAAGAAAGCAAAUUUAUACACAACAAUGUGUAUUUUGUAGAUAGCGAUAACCCACCCAAAUCUAAUUUAAUCAAAUAUUUAAAGAGGUAAUAAUUAAUUUUUAAAGAAUUGAAGUGAACCGUAACUAGGAGGAAAUGUUAUUGUUUAUUUUUAAUGCCAGAACUGUAUUCCUGAUGCAUUUUUAAUAUUUCAUUAAGGUGGUAACUUUCAUGGCGUAAUUUUUAAAGUUUCAUAUCUCCCUGAUUUAUUUCUUUUCUUCUGAAGAAAGGUAAAAUGCUAUAGGGAAACUUAAAGCUUAGAAUGAUGCAUUCUUUGAGGAGCUCUUCCUAAAACUUCCUGGAGUCUUUUUAAGCAGAAUUCUUCUUAAGCCUUUCUGGACAAGCAUUCUAAAACCAGAAGUCUUUUAAACAAGCUGAGGUACAGCAUCUUCUUCUGAGCUGAGCAAAGGGUUCUUCUUUCAGCCAAUGAAUGUGUUCAUCGGGUACUACUUUCUAUUCUGUCUCCGAGCUAUUACUCAUCACUCAUCAUUCUUACUUUCCAGAAGAGAUAUCUGCAAGAAUGGUUUUAAAGCCCAUUGCAUUUCAAACCUGUGUUCUGCCCUUCCUCAGUCCUUUGUUUUUUGUUUUAUCCCUUCUUUUCGAUGGAGCGUCUCUCACGUUUUUGAGCCUUUCAUACUCAAACUGUGGAAGCCUGUUUAUUUCACUCUGGCUCCAGCCCUAGUUAAAGGUGUGAACUACCAAAGUGGAAGGGGGCACAUGCACAUUAACACUGCUGUGGAAAACGUCGCCUGACAGAUGGAUGCAUGUUAAAUGGGUGUUUGAAGAAAGGUGUUUGCAAUAAAAAUCCUGAGUAUGGCAUCAGAGGAAGACCACACACAAUUUUCUACUUUUAUUUCUGUAAUAUAUAGGGGCCAGGCUACUUCUGGUCUGCUUUAUACUGUCACUUAAUCAUAUUUGCUAUUUUAUACUAAUAAUUUGUAUAUUAAUAUUUGUGUGUGUAUUUCAAAGUCUGGCUGUUUUCAAGGGUCUGCUCUGCAGCACAAGGGUCUGAGUCAACAUAGUAUAAAUCAUUGGUUUAUUCAAUAAACAAAAUAGUGAAAGGAUAAAUUGAAUUUCUCCAGUUUCAGUCACCAGUUCUUGAUCUCUGGGGGAUACUCACCUAAUAUGUUAGUUAUGGAGCUAUGAAUAUGAUGUGCAGAUACAUCCUUGCUUGGGUUUAUCUACCUUGACCUUAUCUACCCUAAGAACUGAAGUGUUUAAAUUCUGGUUGAGAAUUGAAGCAGGUGAUUAGAACUAGAUGAUCUUUGAGGGCCCUUUCAACCCAAGCCAUUCUAUGACUCUUUGAAAGAGGAACUGUAGAUAAGUUCACUCAAUUUCUGUUCCUAAGUCCUUAGCUGUUCUCUGGAUGGAUAACAGGAUUUUUUAGGCACAGCAUUGCAUUCUCUACCAUCUUUGCUCUUUUCCCAAAAUAUUUCUGACUCAGUCAUCUCCUGCCUACACAGCGAACUUUUGCGCCCCCUGACUUAGGCUGAAUUGGUUUCUCUUUAUGUACAAACAGGACUGCUUUUUCUUUCCUGAUUUCAUAAUUGCUAUUUCUAUUGGUUUGCUUCUUUUAGUUUUCAAUUCUACUUCAACUUGACUAUGAAGAUUAUCAAGAAAUAAAGCAUGAUUCACAUCUACACAUAGUUUACGACCUUUAGAUUCAAGUCCCUUUAUAUAAACUUGCAAAUACGAAAGGAUACGUCAUAAGACCUUGUAGGCACCCAAACUGUCAGUGAAUUCAGCCUGAAACUGUUUUUUUCAGCUUUAUUGAGACCUCUUUAUAAGCUGUGCUCGUGUUAUGACAAUAGAUUGUUUACAGAUUCUUAAAAUGUCCUGAGUUGAUGGAAAAAAAAGGGCAAUUUUUUUCCUUACAAAUACCACUUGACUUUGAGGAGUGUUUGAAGCUACACAACCAGAAUAGGAACAUUCACACCCGCUGUACGAGUGGCUCAAAAACCCUGUCAUUUCUCUCAGGCCCAGCUCCAGCAAGCACUUACACACAUGCUUAACUUUAUGCACACGAGUAAUCCCAUUGAUUUAAUGGGAUUAUUCCCCUAUGCACAGUUACGCAAACAUAAGUGUUUGCAGGACUGGGGUCUAUUUCUCUUGCAAUGAUUUGAAACCUGUGGAAGAAAACGCUAUAUGCAAGUUAGAUAUUAUUUAAUGGCCACAUAUUAAGCCUGAAUAUUUCUGCUGAAAUUGGUGAGGCUGUGUGAGUUUCUUUCUGGCUGAGAAACUGUCCUCUUCUGUGCACAGUGUACACUCCUAGCUUGCUAUGGUGCACCAUGGCUAUCACAGCAUACAAAGGCAUAUGGGAACUGUUGAGUCACAGCCUGAACCACUGACUGAGCACCUGGGGAAAGGACCUGGUCAGCCCUGGGAGCACAGGUGAAGGCAAUUCACCUGUAUGACUGGAAGGGGUGCAGCCUGGCUCCACCUCUCUUAGAUCUCAUUUAAGGGCUGACUGCCACUGGGGAAGGAUCUCCUUCUGGAGAUCCCUCCUUGAUGGAGCUUUCCUUUGUGAACCUGGAAUCAUCUGAUACAGGUCUCAGACAACGAAGAUUCAGCUCCACAGCACCCUGAGAUCAGCCACUAAUUUCAGAAAACUAGCACACAUGCGAUGAAAUCACCACAUUCUGGAGUGACAACAUAUUCUGCAGAAACAGGGCUGGGAUGCUGGUGGUGCCUUGGUUUGACCUGAUUUUACUUUAUGCAAAUGUAAAAUGUCCAUGGGAGAGACUGACAGUGGAUUUCAUAGCACUGCAAUUUGAUUUUAGUAUUAAACAACCAAAGGAAAAAAACACCAACAAAAAUCACAGAAACACAUGCCAUUGAAUUAAAGCAUUACCUUUACCUUUGGAUUGUGUCCUUUUACCCAUUGUGAGGAGUGUAACCACCUGGAUAUAUGAAACAACACCAUUCCAAACAGUAUUAAAAUCUAAAGAAAGCUCUGUAACUAGCUUAAAAUGUCAAGUGGUAGGAGAAAAAUCACCUGCAAUACAAAACUCUUGCUAUUAUAAUGAUACAGUGUGUAAUUCAAUAUAUCUGUUUAGAUAUUGACCUUCUGUAUUAUUAAUGGCUUUAAAAAGGGUACUGCUGUCUUGUAAGUCCUUAACAGGUGGAUGCCACUGGAAAUCUAACAUUUAUUGGUUUCUAUGUGCCAGAUUACUUUCAAACUACAACUCAUUGCAAAUAUAUUUGCAGCCUGAAUGUAAUAGGCAGAACAUGACCUGAUUUGUACUUUUUUUUCCCUAAAGCUUCUUCCUAUCUUCUCACCUUCUCCACCCCAGUCCCUAUUCAUCAAAUAAAGAGCAAGAGAGCAAGGGAGAAAGAGAGGAAGGGAAAAGAGAGGAAGGGAGGAAGGGAGAAAGAGAGGAAGGGAGAAAGAGAGGGAGGG